ensembl:lncRNA
CUAACGUGUGUACUCGCGCCCCCUCGAGGUUCAGCCGGUACUGCCAGGACGGGCGACGGUCGACAACCUGCCACCCCAGCUCCAACCCAGGUCCAGGGCCUCCCCGCCAGGAACCUGGGGGCCCACUUGAUUCCGUACCGCUCCCAGAAGAGGUUAUUCCUGAAGGUGCGGUUAACGUCUACGUCACGGUGCUUGACGCCAGGACCGCACCGCCCGGCCCGCUCUUUUAUGCGCUGUGGGCGGGGCCGAGGGGCGGGGCCAACGUCAGGAGGCCCUGACCCGCUGGACCAACCGCCACAACUGCCGCGACCGGGCGGGCGCUGCGCGGCCCGAGGGACCGGAGCUGUUUUCUGCAGAAACCUCAUUCCGCUUGUUUCUAAAGCCAGCGGGGCUCACGAGGGACUCCCCCGUCCAAGGCCCAGAACCCCGACCGUUAACAAGGUACCGUCCAGGCCCUCUGGACCCCUCCUCCGCCUCCCCCAGAGGCCUCCCAGGUGACAGCGCUCGCCAGGCCCUGAGCCUGGUCCCGGGAGGCGGCUCCCAGGUCCCAGAGCAGAGACCAGGCCUGCCCUCGCACUGGUGGAGGGAUGCCCAUGGACACCCUUUGGCACAUCUAUGGGGGAGAAGCAGCCCUGAGACAGAUGCAGGCACCACACCGGGGAGUAGACGGACACGCGUGGAGUCUUAACCCUCACCGACUGAGUGCUGAGGUCGCAGAUACUGAAGCCCUGGAUGCGGGGACUAGGGUCCCCACCAGCCCCCCUGCAAAGAGACCCUCGAUCCUCAGGCUUGCCCAGCCGUCCUCAGCAGGCACCUAUUGCGCAUGACGUGCUUCUCAUCAGUCAUCAGCUGGAACAACCUCCAGAAGGUGUCGUCCUCGUUCAGGAACAUCAGUAGGACGGCCACGACCUCAUUCAUGCCCUGGAAGUAGCCCACCUCCUGCAAGAGCCAGAUGUGCGUGGAGGACCCCCUGGAGCCCACCUCUGCUCUUGGAUUCAUCAGCCCAUGGCCUGCCAUGGCCACCAGCGGUCACUCCUGUUCUUGACACCUUUGGGAUGUUUCUUCUCGUGGAAACCCACCCCCAGGAUGGGAAAGAGGGGCAUCCCAGUGACUCACAGCAAGGAACCUAGCCUGUUGGCGACACUGUACACUGAGAGAUCUGUAUCCUUACCUGGUUCCCGCAUCCUCCUUGUAUGGCCCAAAAGCCAGAGGGGGCUGAGAGAUGCCAGGAAAGGCAGGGCAGGACAACUCCCCACCCUGCAUCCCAGGGGCACAGCACCAGGCCUGCCUCACUCAGUGGGAUCUGCCUGGGCCUCACCUCGUACCUGGCUAGGAUCAUGCCUGGGCCACCUGGUCCCAUUUGUGGUGACCCCCACCUGAGCCAUACCCACUCAUCCUGGGGAGGAGGAUGUCCACUCAGGCUUGCUCUGCUCAGCUUUCGCUGUGACUCCUACCUGGAAUGUGAGUGCUCUUGCUGCCCAUGGUUCCCGCUGGGCUGUACCUGUGCACACAUGGCAAUGGGUCCCACCUGGGCCUCACCUGCUCCUCCUUGGCUAUGAUCCCACCAGGGACAUCCCUGCUCCUGCUGGCCAUGUGGGCUGGCAUGGCCCCCCUGGGCCUCACCUGCUGCGUGCUGACUGUGCUCCCCGCCUGAGCUGUACCUGUUCCUACUGGUAACCAUCCUUACGUGGCCUUCCAUCGUCUACCCAGGGAUGACCUCGGCCUGGCCUCCCUUGCUUAUUCUUGGCGCUGGUUCCUCCUGGGACAUACCUGAUUCUGUGGGCUAGGAUGCUCGCCUGGGCUGCAGUGAUUCCCACUUGGGAAAUGUACCUUUUCUGAUGGGUGAUGUUACCAGUUCUACCUGGCUAGGAUCCCUGCCGGGUCUCAGCUGCCUGUCCUUGGCUCAGAUCCCUGCUUGGGUGCACCUGCUCUUGUCUAUGAUCCCUGUUGGGGUCUCACCUGCUCAUAUUUUGUUAUAAUUUCUUCUCGUUCCAAGGCUAGUAGGGUCUCCAGCUUCUCCAUGUUGGAUGCUGCAAGACAAAAUCCAUGUAUUCCAGUGCCCUAAAGAGCUUCAGGGACCCAGCAAGUGGAAGUUGGCUCCCUGUUGGCAGCUUCCUGGUCAUAGAGGGAGAAAUCAGACAUUAGUGCCCCCUUAGUGCGUGGGAUCCCCUUUGGCAAUCAUGGCUUGCAUCCACACCUAAUACUUCCACUUCUAGAUUUCAGAAUGGGGUAGACCUUUCUCCAAAGUCCACCCAGCUUUAGAAAACAAGGCCAACAGGCUCAGGGGGAGCUUCCCAACCUCAUCGGCCAUCAGGGAGAUGCAAGUCAAGACCACAGGGCACACCACUUCUCACCCAUGGAAACUUUAUUCCCAAUAACAGGAUGUGGAGAGAUUGCAACUCUCCUGUACUGCAGGCAGGAAAUGGUGUCCCUACACUGUGGAUCGGUGAACGAAAUUGGGCACAAGAGACCAUAUAUUGUAUGAUUCCAUUGAUCUGAAGUGUCCAGCAUCACCAGGUCCAUAGAGACAGAAACUGGAUCGGGGGGCCCCAGGGCUGGGGGAUGGGCGAGGGGUGGGUAUCUGCUGAUGGAUAAGAGACUUUGACGAGGUGGUGACACGUGGAUGGAUAAGAGACUUUGACGAGGUGGUGACACGUGGAUGCAGUGGUGAUGGUAGCAGGAGUCUGUAAAAUAAAGACCUCUGAAUAGUCUACUUGAGCUAAAGUGGAUGAUGUGUGAAUUUCAGAGAAAGCUCUUUGAGCCGGAUUCGCCCCAGGAGCCCUGAAAGGGGCAGUGAGAGACUUCACUUAGAUUAAAACACAACCAGGGGCUCUCAUGUUCGAGGGCAGCAGUCCUGAGCUUCUGCCC